rnacentral:rRNA from 1 species
AGAGUUUGAUCCUGGCUCAGAGUGAACGCCGGCGGCGUGGAUUAGGCAUGCAAGUCGAGCGAUCCUUGUUACUGAUGCAGAUUGAAAUCUUCGGGUGGAUAUUUGCAAAAGUAACGCUGGAUAGCGGCAAACGGGUGAGUAACACGUGGGUAAUGUACCUUAAGGCGAGGAACAGCUUCGCGAAAGCGGAGGUAAUGCCUCAUACUCUUUUAGAUCUGCGAUGGUCUUUAAGCAAAGAUGGCCUCUACUUGUAAGCUAUCACCUUUUGAGCAGCCCGCGUCCUAUCAGGUUGUUGGUGAGGUAAAAGCUCACCAAGCCUCUGACGGGUAGCUGGCGUAAGAGCGUGGUCAGCCACAUCGGGACUGAGACACUGCCCGGACUCCUACGGGAGGCUGCAGUCGAGAAUCUUUCACAAUGAGCGAAAGCUUGAUGAUGCGACGCCGCGUGGGGGAUGAAGGUCUUCGGAUUGUAAACCCCUUUUAUCAGGGAGGAAGACUCAAUACCUAAUACGUAUUGAGAUUGACUGUACCUGUUGAAUAAGCCACGGCUAACUCCGUGCCAGCAGCCGCGGUAAUACGGAGGUGGCAAGCGUUACUCGGUUUGACUGGGUGUAAAGGGUCCGUAGGCGGCCUGUUAAGUGAAAGGUGAAAUCCUUCGGCUCAACUGAAGAAUUGCCUUUUAAACUGCCAGGCUAGAGGAUGGUAGAGGAAAGUGGAACUGUUGGUGUAAAGGUGAAAUUUGUGGAUAUCAACAGGAACGCCCGUAGUGAAGACGACUUUCUGGACCAUUCCUGACGCUCAGGGACGAAAGCUAGGGGAGCAAACAGGAUUAGAUACCCUGGUAGUCCUAGCCGUAAACGAUGAGCACUAGGUGUUUGUACUUUUAGUAUGGGCGCCGUAGCUAACGCGUUAAGUGCUCCACCUGGGGACUACGGCCGCAAGGCUAAAACUCAAAGGAAUUGACGGGGACCCGCACAAGCGGUGGAACACGUGGUUUAAUUCGAUGCUACGCGAGUAACCUUACCAGGGCUUGACAUGCUAGAAGUAGUAUCCCGAAAGGGAGUCCGACCAGUAACCAGUCUGGAACUAGUGCAGGUGCUGCAUGGUUGUCGUCAGCUCGUGCCGUGAGGUGUUCCUUUAAGUAGGAAAACGAGCGCAACCCUCGCCUUUAGUUGCUAGUUAUGACUUUGUUAUAGCGCACUCUAAAGGGACUGCCCGCGUUAAGUGGGAGGAAGGCGGGGACGACGUCAAAUCCGCAUGGCCCUUAUGUCCUGGGCUACACACGUGUUACAAUGCUUACUACAAAGGGAGGCGAAGCCGCGAGGUGAAGCAAAUCUCAAAAAAGUAAGCUCAGUUCGGAUUGUAGGCUGCAACUCGCCUACAUGAAGCUGGAAUCGCUAGUAAUGGCGCAUCAUCUCGGCGCCGUGAAUACGUUCCCGGGUCUUGUACACACCGCCCGUCAAGCGCUGAAAGUGGGGGGUACCCAAAGUCCCAACUUGUUGAGAUCACGGUAAAUUUCAUGAUUGGCGCUAAGUCGUAACAAGGUA